AGAAUUUAAAAUUUAAAGCCGCUAACUUUAAUAAUUGUGCAUAGCAUGAAGAUUCUU
rnacentral:tRNA from 1 species